rnacentral:rRNA from 1 species
UAACGCGAAGAACCUUACCUACCCUUGACAUACAGAGAACUUUCUAGAGAUAGAUUGGUGCCUUCGGGAACUCUGAGACAGGUGCUGCAUGGCUGUCGUCAGCUCGUGUUGUGAAAUGUUGGGUUAAGUCCCGUAACGAGCGCAACCCUUAUCCUUAGUUGCUACCAUUUAGUUGGGCACUCUAAGGAGACUGCCGGUGAUAAACCGGAGGAAGGUGGGGACGACGUCAAGUCAUCAUGGCCCUUAUGGGUAGGGCUACACACGUGCUACAAUGGCCGGUACAGAGGGCCGCAAACUCGCGAGAGUAAGCUAAUCCCUUAAAGCCGGUCCUAGUCCGGAUUGCAGUCUGCAACUCGACUGCAUGAAGCUGGAAUCGCUAGUAAUCGCGGAUCAGAAUGCCGCGGUGAAUUCGUUCCCGGGUCUGUACACACCG